AAUAGCCUAACGGCUGAACCAGCAACUUGGAAGAAUGUAUAGCUAAGCUAAAUGUUUUUUUUUACAUUUUUUGUAAAAAACAUAUUCGAUUUACUCGUAUAAAGUUCUAGGUAGAAUUAUGAUAAUGACAUUAUCUAUCUAUAAGUCUUGACCAACAUGCGUGCCAGCAGUCGCGGCAAGACGCUAAAGACUAGUGUUAUUCAUUUUAAUAGGUUUAAAGGGUACCUAGACGGUAAAUUAAGCCUUAAUCGGUACUAAUUUAACUAGAGUUAAAUGUAAGGGUGCAUUAACGUACUAUUGAGUGUAGAGAUGAAAUUCUGUCAUACCAGAUUAUUGGCACGGGUUUAGGCGAAAGCAUCACUUUAUGUAAUAACUGACGUUGAGGGACGAAGGCUUUGUAUCGCUAAAAGGAUUAGAUACCCUCGUAGUCUAAGCAGACAAUGAUGAAUGUCAUAGGUUAAAUGUUGUUUAGUCUAUAAAUGAAAGUGUAAGCAUUCCACCUCAAGAGUAAUUUGGCAACAUUGGAAUUGAAAUCAUUAGACCGUUUCUGAAACCAGUAGUGAAGUAUGUUGUUUAAUUAGAUGGUCCACAAAAAACCUUACCACAACUUGAAUAUUUUACAAGCGUUGCACGGCUGUCUUCAGUUAAUGUCGUGAGAUUUUGGUUAGUUCCAUUAAUUAACGUAAACCCUUGCUUUAUUUUUAUAUAAAGUAGUUCGCCGCUAUAUUGGUUAGAUAAAAGGGAGUA
rnacentral:rRNA from 1 species